GACGAACGCUGGCGGCAUGCCUAACACAUGCAAGUCGAACGAGACCUUCGUGUCUAGUGGCGCACGGGUUCGUAACGCGUGGGAACCUGCCCUUAGGUUCGGAAUAACUCCCCGGAAGGGGUGCUAAUACCGGGUAAUGUCUUCGGACCAAAGAUUUAUCGCCUUUGGAUGGGGCCGCGUUGGAUUAGCUAGUUGGUAGGGUAAAAGCCUACCAAGGCGACGAUCCAUAGCUGGUCUGAGAGGAUGAUCAGCCACACUGGGACUGAGACACGGCCCAGACUCCUACGGGAGGCAGCAGUGGGGAAUAUUGGACAAUGGGCGAAAGCCUGAUCCAGCAAUGCCGCGUGAGUGAUGAAGGCGUUAGGGUUGUAAAGCUCUUUUACCCGGGAUGAUAAUGACAGUACCGGGAGAAUAAGCUCCGGCUAACUCCGUG
rnacentral:rRNA from 1 species